UACGAAGGGGGCUAGCGUUGUUCGGAAUCAUUGGGCGUAAAGGGUGCGUAGGCGGCGCGGUAAGUCGGGUGUGAAAUCUCGGAGCUUAACUCCGAAACUGCAUUCGAUACUGCCGUGCUUGAGGACUGGAGAGGAGACUGGAAUUUACGGUGUAGCGGUGAAAUGCGUAGAUAUCGUAAGGAAGACCAGUGGCGAAGGCGGGUCUCUGGACAGUUCCUGACGCUGAGGCACGAAGGCCAGGGGAGCAAACGGG
rnacentral:rRNA from 1 species